rnacentral:rRNA from 1 species
AGCGUAGGCGGUUCUGCAAGUCAGAAGUGAAAGGCUACGGCUCAACCGUGGUAAGCUUUUGAAACUGCAAGACUAGAGUGCAGGAGAGGCAAGUGGAAUUCCUAGUGUAGAGGUGAAAUUCGUAGAUAUUAGGAGGAACACCAGUGGCGAAGGCGACUUGCUGGACUGUAACUGACGCUGAGGCUCGAAAGCGUGGGGAGCGAACA